AAGCACUAAACAGCUCAAAAACAUGUCAUCCUCAGGAUCCACCUAUAUUCCAUGGAGUAAGCGUUGAGCAAAUGUACCCCAAGGAAUCCAGGUGCCUAUGUGCUUUUGUUGUUCGUUGUGCAAGCUCAUGAAGUCGUCAGUCUUGGGAGACAACUUCGAGGUGAGGUUCUUCAUGUGCGACAACUAUGAGUAUGAUCCACCUAAGCGUUAUGGCAACGACUGAGCUAAGUCUCCACCGCCUCUAUGUGAUUUCGUGCAGUGGUUAGACAACGAGCAAUCUCAGGAGGCUAAGGAUUACGUUGAACACGAAGCAAGGUGGGCUGCGGAAAGGUGGCAACGAAUGCUGCACGAGGAACAGAUGAAGGAAAAGCGCAAGCAAGACCAGGAAGAUAUUCGGAAGAGGAUUGCAGAAGUGGAACGUCAAGAGGCGGAGGCACGUGAAGCUGACAUGGAGAAGAAGCGAGAGAGGGCCCGUCGUGCUAAGGAAGCAGGGCCCGAAGCUAUUAGGAAGGGGAAAUAUCCCUGGUGCACUCAGUAAAGCACCACCAUGUAAUCUCUGCAAUUUAAAUUCCCUAAGGCAUGUUAUUGUGUUGCACGUGCCACUGUAGUUCGUUCUUUUAGUUCCCUGUUUAGAGCAAAGGUCUCACACGUCAUUUACCGUAGUAGUACAGACGCAAUGACCCGUUGCUAUGUUAUCAUUAUCUUAAUGAAAUCCAGGACUUUAUGGCUCCA